GAUGAACGCUGGCGGCGUGCCUAAUACAUGCAAGUCGAGCGAACAGAUAAGGAGCUUGCUCCUUUGACGUUAGCGGCGGACGGGUGAGUAACACGUGGGUAACCUACCUAUAAGACUGGAAUAACUCCGGGAAACCGGGGCUAAUGCCGGAUAACAUUUAGAACCGCAUGGUUCUAAAGUGAAAGAUGGUUUUGCUAUCACUUAUAGAUGGACCCGCGCCGUAUUAGCUAGUUGGUAAGGUAACGGCUUACCAAGGCAACGAUACGUAGCCGACCUGAGAGGGUGAUAGGCCACACUGGAACUGAGACACGGUCAAGACUCCUACGGGAGGCAGCAGUAGGGAAUCUUCCGCAAUGGGCGAAAGCCUGACGGAGCAACGCCGCGUGAGUGAUGAAGGUCUUCGGAUCGUAAAACUCUGUUAUUAGGGAAGAACAAAUGUGUAAGUAACUGUGCACGUCUUGACGGUAACUAAUCAGAAAGCCACGGCUAACUACGUG
rnacentral:rRNA from 1 species